rnacentral:rRNA from 1 species
UACGUAGGUGGCAAGCGUUGUCCGGAAUUAUUGGGCGUAAAGCGCGCGCAGGUGGUUUCUUAAGUCUGAUGUGAAAGCCCACGGCUCAACCGUGGAGGGUCAUUGGAAACUGGGGAACUUGAGUGCAGAAGAGGAAGGUGGAAUUCCAAGUGUAGCGGUGAAAUGCGUAGAGAUUUGGAGGAACACCAGUGGCGAAGGCGGACUUUCUGGUCUGUAACUGACACUGAGGCGCGAAAGCGUGGGGAGCGAACAGG